rnacentral:antisense_RNA from 1 species
CUUGAGGGACCCGACCAGCAGCGGUCGUUCGGCGGGCCGGUCCUGACCGUACGUGGCCAGGGGCCCGCC